UUGAAUUGAAGCAUGGGAUGUGGCUACUGUAAAAGCAGAGUCUGGAAUAUAUACUGGCACUUUAUGAUUGAUCACAAGGCAUUGUUCUCUGAGUUAAAGCUUCAGCAAUGUCAACUGGAUAGAUAAGAAAAGUUUUCCCGUAUGGAACAUCAACAUUCGCAAACCCAGGGAAAGAACAAGCAGUUUUCCAAGCUUCUAGGAAUGACU